AAAUUACAACUUUACGGCACAAAUCUUUUUAUUUAUUUUUCGGCUCCUUCUACGUGACCCUGGUCUCUGUUUGUAACGUAGAGUUUUCCCUGCGUCUCUAUAACAUAGAGAC